rnacentral:rRNA from 1 species
GACGAACGCUGGCGGCGUGCUUAACACAUGCAAGUCGAACGGAAAGGCCCUGCUUUUGUGGGGUGCUCGAGUGGCGAACGGGUGAGUAACACGUGAGUAACCUGCCCUUGACUUUGGGAUAACUUCAGGAAACUGGGGCUAAUAUCGGAUAGGAGCUCCUGCUGCAUGGUGGGGGUUGGAAAGUUUCGGCGGUUGGGGAUGGACUCGCGGCUUAUCAGCUUGAUGGUGGAGUAGUGGCUUACCAAGGUUUUGACGGGUAGCCGGCCUGGGAGGGUGACCGGCCACAUUGGGACUGAGAUACGGCCCAGACUCCUACGGGAGGCAGCAGUGGAGAAUAUUGCACAAUGGGCGGAAGCCUGAUGCAGCAACGCCGCGUGCGGAAUGACGGCCUUCGGGUUAUAAACCGCUUUCGCCUGUGACGAAGCGUGAGUGACGGUAAUGAGUAAGGAAGCACCGGCUAACUACGUG